GACCCUCCCCGCUCACCUGCCCCGGCGGGGAGGCCUCGCCGCAGAGCGCGGGGCUCCAGGGGCCGAGGCGGCCGCUCCCGCAGCCUCCGGCCGCCCCUCAUCCACAGCCGGGCGCGCGCCGCUCCGCCGCCGCCUCGCGCGCCGCCAUCUCGGCCCCGUCACCCGGGAGACGCUCCCGCCCCUUCCGGCCGCGCCGCUUCUCUCCGUCCCGAUCCCGGAGCACGGCCGGGCCGCGCUGCCCCCGGCGGCCUCACCACGCCCGCCUCUCCCCCGCGGCUCGGCACGGCGGCCGCCGGGCCACGGGGGAGUCCCACCCGGGUCUUUGUCCCUUGGAGGAACUGCGAUCAAAAGACAUUGUAUUUUAGCGGACUCAAGGUGCUGCACACGUGGCAGUAAAGGUUCCCGUGUGGUCGUCGGGAUGCUGAGCUGUAAAUCUGGUUGCUACUAAAAAACAAACGCCGCUGACAGCUUCCGAGGGCAUUGCGUUCCACCCAGCUACACUGGUACUGAGCCCAACAACUUCUGCUUGUGUUCAACUAAAGCAGCAUUUCUCCUUAUGGAAAGUAUUUUGGUUUUCCUUUCUCUGCUGGAAGAAACUGAGCAACUGCUGCCAGCUGCAGGGAACAUGCAUUGGCGAGUACUGUAUUUCCAGAAAGUUCUUCCAUAAAGACAUGUUGUACUCAGGAAAGUACUGAAAAAUGAAGGAUCCACCAUAUUUCUUCAUGGUUUGUCCUAGUAAUUAAACAGCUGUACUUUUAAAUUUGAAUCUGUCUGGCUUCUAUUUCCAGCAACUCUUUACACCAUUCUCUGUUAAAGUGCCCUUUGUUUCUUUUUGUCUCCCUGAGGAGAUUAUGACACAUCACAACCAUAUUUUGUAUCAUCUUUCUUUUCAAUAGAGUAACAUUGGGAGAUUUUUAAAGCUUAACUAGCAGUGUUAGCCCUCAAUAAAUUCUUUUCUCUUGCAGUGUUCCUUUUUUUUCUUCUUCCUUUCAAAAUUGUGAGUUGUACAUUAUGAGUGUCAGACUCACCAAUGCAGCGUGCAAAGCUAAGAUCAAUGUUAUCUCUGCUCAUUUGUAUUCAAAGAUCCCACGGAAACAGAUGAUUUUUUCACUAUGAUUUCCAGUGUCAUUGCUUUCCAGGGAAUUGUGUUGCUUUUGCCCUGUGCACUAGAUGAGAAAGCCCAACACUACACUGACUUUGUACACAGGCAGUGGAUCAGAGCCAGCCAGCAGAAGAGGCCAGGUUGCUCUGCCCUUGUCAGAUUUUAUCAGCAGCAACUUUAUACCUUACCUCAGGAUCAAUGAUUUAAAGGAUGGAUACCCCUUUCCUAGUGACUUCAACAAACAGGAAUCAGCAGGGAUUUAUUAGAAACUUUUUAUGAUCUGCUACUAAAUCACGUCACUAGUCAUAAGGUAAGCAAAAAGAACGUUUUUAAGAAUAGUACUGUUCAGGUGGAAAGCACCAUGGUAAAUUUGAAAUACACUGAAGUGAGAUUAGGCCUUUUGUCAUUCCAAGCAGAAUGCUGAUUAACCAAUUUAUUACACUAAAGUGGUGAAGUAUAAAUUAUUUAUGAGGAAAGGAAUUUAUUUUUCCUCAUCUUGAGCUCCAGUCAUUAUGCAUUUGGCUCUGCAGCCACAGCUGUUUCUUUUAGAAACUGAAUAGCUGAGAAAAAACAGGCCAAGUAGAACACAACUGAUUUCAAUUGCAAAUACUUAGAAAUUUAAAUAAAGCCAAAGAAAUACAGCAGAUAGAAGGACUGGAUAUUUUCAUUGCUCCAAUGAAAACUCAAUCACUAAGUAAGUUAAAGCCAAACUCUCAAGGUGCCACUACAAUUAAACAUAUUCCAUAAGAUGAGGACAUGGGCAAGGUAUUGCAGAGCUGUCACCCCAAAGGACCCUCCAGAGAGAAAUGAGAAGCAAUAAAUAUUUUGCAAUGGCACUAAUGGACUCUUACUGAAUUUGAGCAGAUUUCAGAUGUACUUAUUGUCCAAGUGGUAAAGGUCCAUACUGAAACAUUACAGCAGUAAACAAGAAUGAAGAACAACGGGGGAAAAAGGAGGGAAAUAAACCCCAAAAAACCAGCUGGAGAACUUGUGAUGGCAAAAUCACAAUGAUCUGUCUAAGAAGUGAAUACUUGUCUACAGAAAGACUGGGCUAAAUCAGCUACUAGAGUGUAUAUAGACUGGGCUGCCAGAUAAAAGAAGUAUAUGCCCACAGCCAAGUAUGUGGAAAAAAAACCCUCAUAAGGACAAUGUUCUGACUUACUCCUGAAUGUUACUGUUUUCAACACUCAACCAAAUGAGUAGAAACUGAGGCUCUGCAGAGAACAGUUUGCAGAACAAGCUACCCUAUGCAUCUGAGAAUAAACCUGCAGGUAAAAAGAAACCAUCUCCCAUUGCUGAUAUCGCUCCCAAUCUGACUUCAUUCUUAGAAGAUCCAUCAAGAUACCUCUGACCAGCAUAGUCCAGUGUAAUUUGGGUCUGCACAUAUUGUCCGACGUUUUUUGCCUAGCUACUGAAUGGAGGCUGCACUGGUGUUAUUGACAGAACUCAUGUGGGGAACACACAGCGUUGGGCUGCUUGUAUCAGAGAGCAGCCAGUGUUACCUGAGACAGGAGCCACUGGUGUAUCUCUGGAAGGCAGUCACUCUCUCCCCUUCCUUCUGGGUCUCUGAACGCUUUUGCAUUUAAAGCCACUCUGGGCAGAACUUUACAGCUUAUUUUUGGAAGCCAGUGAAAGAGCUAUUUGUCAAACCUUUAACUUCAGAUUGGUCAGCACAAUUUUCUGAAAAUUUAUACAGCGUUCAGUCUUCAUUCUGUGCCAAGAAUGAGUUGCCUGCAGAGAACUACACUGCACUUAUAGCAAUUGCACUUGAACCGUCAUGUUCUAGGUGGAAUCUCAAAUGUUUUCUAAUUAGACAACAAGCCUUCCACAGUUCACUGUAUGAAUACCUUAAAUCUCAGCCUCUCCCACCACAGUGAAGGAAAUCAAGUGGAAACUGAAGCAAGUUGCUGUGUGUCCAUGACAUGCUGGAGCCGUUCAUCAAGCAAAGACUUCUAAAAUCCUAUGCAAUAUAUUACAUCAGCAAAGACCUCUAAGAACAAGACUACAGAUGGUAUUUUAUAGCUUUGACAUAUAUAAAACACACUCAGCUAGCAUAUAUUUUGCUAGAUCAUGUGAAGAAACAUUCUGUACUCCAUCAAUUACUAGUAUUGGGUAAAUCAAGUGUAGAAUGAAGAGCUCAGAAAAAUUACAUAUAUGCACUUCAGACAGAACAUACUUGUAGCAAAUGAAGUUGCAGUCCAAAACUGAA